CGUGAUCAUGUGAUUCACCACUAGGAAUCAGCAGCUGCUCGAUCUCUGUUCCAGUCAGUUAGUCAAGAUGAAGCAUCAGUCACAACAGCAGCAGGAGAAUAGGAGGAGGAAGCAGCAGAAAAGUAGCUGCACCCAUUAUGUCAGCAUCAGCAGGCUCCAAUCUAUCGGGGUCCACACACGUGGUGGCCUCGGACUCUUCCACGCAGGAUCCUGUACUGCAGCUUCUCAGCAUGCUGGAGUAGGAUAGCGAGGUGCUAAUUUCAGAGCCAGAGGCUGCACUUGAGGGGGCUUCACAGUACUGGACUCCUUCUUAUGCACCGUCCAUUGAUCAUCGCACAAGAGAUGUACAACCAUCAGUGCAAGAACAGCUGGCUAACCGUGCUGGUGCGGAUGUUGUGGAUGAGAAGAUACCAACCCCAGUGCACCACAACCAUUACUAUUCGCCUCAUGCUAUGUGCUAACAGUUAGUGUUUCAAAACGUCUUCAUGUAGGACUUGAAGUUUCACAAGGCGGUAGCCUGUCAACUGUGUUAGUGCUCGAAAAUGUGCUGAAAAAUAUUAAAGUGCGGUUUUCAGACUAUGAGUGGGAUGAACUCUGUUGCGUAAAAACAUACAUACAUACAUCAAGAAGCAUAUGACUACUGAAUAUGCUCCAUUCCACUCCUACCAGGACAUGUACUGUGGUAGUCUAUCUGUGAGUAUUCUAUCUAAUGUAUGACGAUGCUACACUAAGAAUUAGCAGUGGUGAGGGUCAAAGUAUUUUCAUUCAGCACUCGACUGUUGAUAACUUGAUCAAUCUAGACAUGGUGGUAAGUAGUACGAUAGAGAGGCUAAAUAUAUGGCGCCCAUUCAUUCAAGCUGUAUACACUGACAUCAUUAACUGGCUUUGCACAUGCAGUGUUCACAUAGAAGAUAUAAAUCAUUGUUUUAGUACCUGUAUAAGUGCAGUGCCGAGGUUUUGUGCUAUCCCUCGAAUAGGUGUUGAAAAUGUCGAACUCAAAUUUACCGUUGGAAUACCAGACUAUUGCAAUGGCCGAUAACAUUACGAGAUAUACAUGCUGAAUUUGAGGGAUACAAGAAGCAGCUGUUUUCCAAAUACUGUACUGCUGCUGCACCGAUUAAAAAAGAAUCAAGUGAUUUUUUGUAUAUUGAUGAUAAUUGUAGAUGGUGAAUAAAUAAAUAUAUUUACAAUAUUAAA